rnacentral:rRNA from 1 species
GAUUAUGGCUCAGGAUGAACGCUAGCGACAGGCUUAACACAUGCAAGUCGAGGGGCAUCACGGGAGUAGCAAUACAACUGGUGGCGACCGGCGCACGGGUGAGUAACGCGUAUGCAACCUACCUAUCAGAGGGGAAUAACCCGGCGAAAGUCGGACUAAUACCGCAUAAAACAGGGGCACCGCAUGGUGAUAUUUGUUAAAGAAAUUUGCUGAUAGAUGGGCAUGCGUUCCAUUAGGUAGUUGGUGAGGUAACGGCUCACCAAGCCGACGAUGGAUAGGGGAACUGAGAGGUUGGUCCCCCACACUGGUACUGAGACACGGACCAGACUCCUACGGGAGGCAGCAGUGAGGAAUAUUGGUCAAUGGGCGGGAGCCUGAACCAGCCAAGUCGCGUGAAGGAAGAAGGAUCUAUGGUUCGUAAACUUCUUUUGCAGGGGAAUAAAGUGCAGGACGUGUCCUGUUUUGUAUGUACCCUGAGAAUAAGGAUCGGCUAACUCCGUGCCAGCCGCCGC